AUUUAUUUUUUAUCGAAUAAAAUGUUAAAUUGCAGUUCGUUUUGUGUCUGGUCAAUUAUUAAAGAGCCAGCAAUUAAAUAAUAACAAUCCAAUGGGAAAAAAGGCCGUAAUGCAAAUAAUAAGUUCUUUUUAAUACGAUUUACUUUGCACAUUUACAGUUAAUAACGAUAAAUUCAGCAAGGAGAAAUAUUCUCGCCUCGUGACGAAUGGAAAACCCCAUUUUCCCGAAGUAAUAAAAGCGCAUUAUACCCAUACUGGCCCCAAAAAAGAACGGAAAAAAUGAAAAAAUAGUGAAGCUUGGAACACAGGAAUUAAUGUUGCAACCCUUAGAAAGCCCCAAAGAAGUUGAAAUUGUGUGGAAUUCUUUGGAGAAUUCUGGUGCUGAAGUUUGGGUAAACAAAGGCACCAAAUGUGGCACGUAAACAUAAACGAAUCCAGGCUAAGGUCAGUUGAGAGACAUACGAGUAAACAAUGAGGUUGUUUUUCUACGAAACUCCAAGAAAAUUAACCUGCACAAAGGUUUCAAUUGCAUUCAAGAGUAAACAAAUUUAUGGAAUCGAAAACAAUUGAAAAUGUGUCUUCGUAGGCAAGCGAGCAGUCCAACCCAGUGGAAAGAAGCAAUCAAAAGCAAUUAUAAUGAAAUUAUAAUAAUGAGCAAUUUUAAAGGGGUACUAAGAAA